rnacentral:rRNA from 1 species
UACAGAGGUCUCAAGCGUUGUUCGGAUUCAUUGGGCGUAAAGGGUGCGUAGGCGGCGCGGUAAGUCGGGUGUGAAAUCUCGGAGCUUAACUCCGAAACUGCAUUCGAUACUGCCGUGCUUGAGGACUGGAGAGGAGACUGGAAUUUACGGUGUAGCGGUGAAAUGCGUAGAUAUCGUAAGGAAGACCAGUGGCGAAGGCGGCGAUCUGGGUCGAUACUGACGCUGAGGUGCGAAAGCGUGGGGAGCAAACAGG